ACAUAUAUAAAAUUGUAUAAUUAGCGUAAAAGACUGCGAGACAAUAUCCCACUGAGAGGGCGUGCCAAGCUCAUAAAACAAAAAACCCAAAAUUGGGUGUCUGUGUCUGCAUCGGGAUCGGAUCGUGGGAUCUGUUUCAAAGCACAUAAUAUGUCAUGUCUAAGGCUAAGUGCUACGGUUUUGGCAGCUUGUAGCUUCACUUAUUUUUGUGUGACUCUUUUUUGAGUAAUGCGCCUUGUCGGUUCAAAUUGGUUGUUAAAACUUUGUGCGACAAAAAAAAAAACAUGUAUUUCAUUUAAUAACUAUUGCAGUCCGUUUAGAAAAGUAUAAAAAGUUGCAGCAUGGCUCUAAGCAGCAACAGUUCAUCAACAGCCAGGUUUCAGUGCAAAGCUCCUUUAAAGCGAGAAGAAUAAAACUAAAUUUACAAAAUGCACUCCAUUGCUAUCAUUGCUCUGCUCGCUGCUGCUGCGUUGUGUGCUGCUGAUGUCUCGCAUUUGUCGCUUUCGGGCGGCUACUUGCCACCACUGAGUGGUGGUGUCGGUGGCUAUUCGGGCUAUAACGGGUAUUCAUCGUAUCCCACUUACUCCAGCGCUGGAUACUACAGUGGCGCAGGUCUGAGCGCCGGCUAUGGAGCACCACUGCUCUCUGGUGGCUACAACAGCUACAACAACUACAACAGCUAUGCUGCAGUGCCGCAGUACAACAACUAUGUGACCCCAUCGCGUGCCUAUUUGCCUGCCUACAAUAGCGGUGGAUACAGAGGCACUAAAUAUGGCGCCAAUGGUGGUUAUAUCUACUAGGGAUAGCUUAAAAUGGAAUGCUUGGCUACAUAUAUGCAAACGAACAUACAGAUACAUACACAUAUGGCCAACAUAAAUCCACAGGAGUGGUGGCUGCCAAAGAAAGCAAAAAUAAUCACAGAGAUUACAGUGUGCGCUCUCUAUGAGCGCUAUGAACUUGCAGAUAUGACCUGAGACUCUCAGCGCCCGAGUUCGAGCCAACUCCCUACUCCAAUUGGUGUAGACACCUGGACAACUGGAGCUAGCCACAGUCGACUCCCAUGCCAUGAUUUAUUUCUAGAAGAGAAUUUGACAUCUCUCUGGCUGCAUGUCACUAAUUCCAGGACUUAUUGCAACAGACUUCACCGCUGGACAAGA